AGUGAACGCUGGCGGUAGGCCUAACACAUGCAAGUCGAACGGCAGCACAGUAAGAGCUUGCUCUUACGGGUGGCGAGUGGCGGACGGGUGAGGAAUACAUCGGAAUCUACUUUUUCGUGGGGGAUAACGUAGGGAAACUUACGCUAAUACCGCAUACGACCUACGGGUGAAAGCAGGGGAUCUUCGGACCUUGCGCGAUUGAAUGAGCCGAUGUCGGAUUAGCUAGUUGGCGGGGUAAAGGCCCACCAAGGCGACGAUCCGUAGCUGGUCUGAGAGGAUGAUCAGCCACACUGGAACUGAGACACGGUCCAGACUCCUACGGGAGGCAGCAGUGGGGAAUAUUGGACAAUGGGCGCAAGCCUGAUCCAGCCAUACCGCGUGGGUGAAGAAGGCCUUCGGGUUGUAAAGCCCUUUUGUUGGGAAAGAAAAGCAGCAGGUUAAUACCCCGCUGUUCUGACGGUGCCCAAAGAAUAAGCACCGGCUAACUUCGUU
rnacentral:rRNA from 1 species